rnacentral:rRNA from 1 species
GACGAACGCUGGCGGCGUGCCUAACACAUGCAAGUCGAGCGGUAAGGCCCUUUCGGGGGUACACGAGCGGCGAACGGGUGAGUAACACGUGGGUGACCUGCCCUCAGCUCUGGGAUAAGCCUGGGAAACUGGGUCUAAUACUGGAUAUGACUCCACGGUGCAUGUCGUGGGGUGGAAAGCCUUGUGCGGCUGAGGAUGGGCCCGCGGCCUAUCAGCUUGUUGGUGGGGUGANGGCCUACCAAGGCGACGACGGGUAGCCGGCCUGAGAGGGCGACCGGCCACACUGGGACUGAGACACGGCCCAGACUCCUACGGGAGGCAGCAGUGGGGAAUCUUGCGCAAUGGGCGAAAGCCUGACGCAGCGACGCCGCGUGAGGGAUGACGGCCU